rnacentral:sRNA from 21 species
GUCAGUUACCCACGGCGAAAGCCGAGAGCAAAUAUGUUCUUAACUGACUAGCCUCUGUCUAGCAAUCUAACAUUACCAGACUACGUUAAGUAGGUGCACACCUUCAGAUGGUGCCCUAGUCUGUCGCACUGUG